CCAGAAGCCCCAGCAGGGGCUUCUGGCCUGGGACCAGGUGGCUGCCCCUGCCAGAACCUCAGGUCUUCAGUAACUUUAUCCACAUCUUCAAGAUCAUCUAGUUUCAUGAGCCUUGUUAUGGAAAAAAACAAAUGUGGGGUAUUCAGCAUCACUGAUCUUCAAACUGUAGGUGACGUGCAGGGCGAAGAUUAAUUACUGACGAAGCUGCAGUGCUCCCAAGAGCAUGCCCUGAUGCAUUUGUUUUAGGACUGUUAGAUUUAGCACAACUCAUUGAGAGUGGCACUCAAGUAGACUGCCUUUUAGGUGGCUGCUCUUAAUUUUUCAUUAUUAAAUCAAAAUGAUACACCCUGGAAAUGUCAUUCUCACCAUGUCUCAAGGAACACAGCCGACCCAGGCAAGAUUAAGAGGGUUUCCAGUGUCUUUCCCAGUGCCCCUUCCCACAUCCCAUUCUACCCAUGCUCAAAACAGGAACCUUCCUAGAACCCUUCUCAUUAAACAGCACGAUGUGUUUCAAGUUUCUUCCUCCCUUGUCUCCCUGGGAUAUGAUGUGCUACCUUGACUACUGAAAUCCUGUUGUGAGAGCAGGACUGGUUCAGCCUCAGGAAGUGUAUUCUGUGUCUCAGCACAGAGAGAUGCCAUUGCCAGCCAGGUGAGCCCAGUGCCCAUUUAUUUCAGCUAAGAUAUUUUCAGAUGUGUGUAACCAGAUGGCACCUAAGUGCACUUAAAUUUAUAUCUCUAAUUUGGGCUUUCAUGUUUUAUGUAUAAGAAAGUCUUGAAAAAGUACAUUCCUGAGACUUUUCUUGGUCAGUUGCUGCGGAUUUAUUCCUAAUCAUAAUUUUAAAGUCAAUUUAUAGUAAAAAAAAAUGUCUUCCUUGGUCCCAUGCCUAGGCCUAUUUAUGAGGAGGUGUGUGCCUUUAUUCCCAAAGCUGUGGAAAUGAAGCUAAAUGGCUUAGGCUGCUGAAGUUCACUGCAGAGCUGAAGUGUCAGAUUGUUCUCUGGGACCACAGAAAGGGAUGGUAUGGGAAAUAAGAGAAGCUGUAGAGGACUAUUGGGUUCAGCCAUAGUAUACUGGUAGCACAGCCCUCCACUUCUUCCUGCAGUGCCUUCAUUAGCAGCCCUGGCUCUGCUCUGUACAGUUUUUGCUGCUUGAAGGUAAGAAUUUUGUCCCUUAUGCUGCAAAGCUGGCUUCCUCACUGAACAAAUCCCUUGGACACCACUUCCAGAAUCAGUCCCAUAAAUUAUACCUCCUCUUCAUUUCUUUCCUGGGCCAAAUUCAUUGUUUGAGUAAGGUUUUUCAUCCCCUAAAUAGAAGGCCUGACAGCAAUACAAGCACAACCUGCUUGGGGUAAAACAGAUGGUCUACCUAUGAGCUUUAUUAGGAAAUAUCUUAGGCUUUGAUAAUGAAAAGCCCUUGCCUUCUCCUUAGCUCUUCUCAGAUAUUUGUUAAAAUAUUUGUUAUGCAGAAUAUGAACAUUAAAAAAAAAAAGAUGACUUUACA